rnacentral:rRNA from 1 species
UACGGAGGAUCCAAGCGUUAUCCGGAUUUAUUGGGUUUAAAGGGUGCGUAGGCGGCUUAUUAAGUCAGGGGGUGAAAGACGGUGGCUCAACCCUCGCAGUGCCUUUGAUACUGAUGAGCUUGAAUACACUAGAGGUAGGCGGAAUGUGACAAGUAGCGGUGAAAUGCAUAGAUAUGUCACAGAACACCGAUUGCGAAGGCAGCUUACUAUGGUGUCAUUGACGCUGAGGCACGAAAGCGUGGGGAUCAAACAGG